GACGAACGCUGGCGGCGUGCUUAACACAUGCAAGUCGAACGCUGAAGCUCAGCUUGCUGGGUGGAUGAGUGGCGAACGGGUGAGUAACACGUGAGUAACCUGCCCUCUUCUUUGGGAUAACGCCCGGAAACGGGUGCUAUUACUGGAUAUUCACUGAUUCUCGCAUGGGGGUUGGUGGAAAGGUUUUUUCUGGUGGGGGAUGGGCUCGCGGCCUAUCAGCUUGUUGGUGGGGUGAUGGCCUACCAAGGCUUUGACGGGUAGCCGGCCUGAGAGGGUGACCGGUCACAUUGGGACUGAGAUACGGCCCAGACUCCUACGGGAGGCAGCAGUGGGGAAUAUUGCACAAUGGGCGAAAGCCUGAUGCAGCGACGCCGCGUGAGGGAUGGAGGCCUUCGGGUUGUAAACCUCUUUCGCUCAUGGUCAAGCCGCAGCUUUGGGUUGUGGUGAGGGUAGUGGGUAAAGAAGCGCCGGCUAACUACGUG
rnacentral:rRNA from 1 species